AGUGAACGCUGGCGGUAGGCCUAACACAUGCAAGUCGAACGGCAGCACAGUAAGAGCUUGCUCUUACGGGUGGCGAGUGGCGGACGGGUGAGGAAUACAUCGUAAUCUACUUUUUCGUGGGGGAUAACGUAGGGAAACUUACGCUAAUACCGCAUACGACCUACGGGUGAAAGCAGGGGAUCUUCGGACCUUGCGCGAUUGAAUGAGCCGAUGUCGGAUUAGCUAGUUGGCGGGGUAAAGGCCCACCAAGGCGACGAUCCGUAGCUGGUCUGAGAGGAUGAUCAGCCACACUGGAACUGAGACACGGUCCAGACUCCUACGGGAGGCAGCAGUGGGAAUAUUGGACAAUGGGCGCAAGCCUGAUCCAGCCAUACCGCGUGGGUGAAGAAGGCCUUCGGGUUGUAAAGCCCUUUUGUUGGGAAAGAAAAGCAGCAGGUUAAUACCCCGCUGUUCUGACGGUACCCAAAGAAUAAGCACCGGCUAACUUCGUG
rnacentral:rRNA from 1 species